rnacentral:rRNA from 1 species
AGUGAACGCUGGCGGUAGGCCUAACACAUGCAAGUCGAACGGCAGCACAGUAAGAGCUUGCUCUUACGGGUGGCGAGUGGCGGACGGGUGAGGAGUACAUCGGAAUCUACUUUUUCGUGGGGGAUAACGUAGGGAAACUUACGCUAAUACCGCAUACGACCUACGGGUGAAAGCAGGGGAUCUUCGGACCUUGCGCGAUUGAAUGAGCCGAUGUCGGAUUAGCUAGUUGGCGGGGUAAAGGCCCACCAAGGCGACGAUCCGUAGCUGGUCUGAGAGGAUGAUCAGCCACACUAGAACUGAGACACGGUCCAGACUCCUACGAGAGGCAGCAGUGGGGAAUAUUGGACAAUGGGCGCAAGCCUGAUCCAGCCAUACCGCGUGGGUGAAGAAGGCCUUCGGGUUGUAAAGCCCUUUUGUUGGGAAAGAAAAGCAGCAGGUUAAUACCCCGCUGUUCUGACGGUACCCAAAGAAUAAGCACCGGCUAACUUCGUG